rnacentral:lncRNA from 1 species
AGUCAGCCUUCGAGUCAGACAUGAGUGAGAUCAUCCUGUGUCAGAACGAGGUGGACCUGGCCCUCAAGAACCUGCAGACGUGGAUGAAGGACGAGUCUGUGUCCACCAACUUUCUCACGAAGUUCAGCUCAGCCUUCAUCCGGAAAGAGCCCUUUGGCCUGGUACUUAUCAUCGCUCCCUGGAAUUAUCCUCUGAACUUGAUGAUCAUGCCUCUAGUGGGGGCCAUUGCUGCAGGAAACUGUGUGGUGCUGAAGCCAUCAGAAAUGAGCAAGAACACAGAGAAGGUGCUGGCAGAGCUGCUACCCCAGUAUCUGGACCAGAGCUGCUUUGCUGUGGUGCUGGGUGGGCCCGAGGAGACCGGGCAGCUGCUGAAGCACAAAUUUGACUACAUCUUCUUCACAGGGAGCCCUCGGGUAGGCAAGAUCGUCAUGGCUGCUGCUGCCAAACACCUGACGCCCAUCACCCUGGAGCUGGGGGGUAAGAACCCCUGCUAUGUGGAUGACAACUGCGACCCCCAGACAGUGGCCAACCGUGUGGCCUGGUUCCGCUACUUUAACGCCGGCCAGACCUGUGUGGCCCCGGAUUAUGUCCUGUGUAGCCAGGAGAUGCAGGAGCGGCUGGUGCCCGCCCUGCAGAAUGCCAUCACGCGUUUCUAUGGAGACAACCCACAGACCUCCCCCAACCUGGGCAGAAUCAUCAACCAGAAGCAUUUCGAGCGGCUCCAGGGAUUGCUGGGCUGUGGCCGUGUGGCCAUCGGGGGCCAGAGCGAUGAGGGGGAGCGCUACAUUGCCCCCACAGUGUUAGUGGAUGUGCAGGAGACAGAACCUGUGAUGCAGGAGGAGAUCUUUGGGCCCAUCCUGCCCUUGGUGACUGUGCGGAGCCUGGAUGAGGCCGUUAACUUCAUUAACCAGCGGGAGAAGCCACUGGCAUUGUAUGCCUUCUCCAACAAUGGCCAGGUGGUGACCCAGAUGUUGGAAUGCACCAGCAGCGGUAGCUUCGGAGGCAACGACGGCUUCCUCUACCUGACCCUACCAGCUCUGCCCCUGGGGGGAGUUGGUAACAGUGGGAUGGGCAGGUACCAUGGCAAGUUCUCCUUUGACACCUUCUCCCACCAGCGUGCCUGCCUGCUGAGCAGCCCUGGGAUGGAAAAGCUUAAUGACCUCCGUUACCCACCUUAUGGUACCUGGGACCAACAACUGAUAAGCUGGGCUAUGGGCUCCCAGAGCUGCACUCUCCUGUGAAUGUCACCCUGAGUCCUCUCUCUUGCUGUCCCGCCCCAACCUACCUGAGCUUUCAGCGGCUUCCAAUUCCCCAGUGGUUCCUGAAA